rnacentral:rRNA from 1 species
AUUGAACGCUGGCGGCAGGCUUAACACAUGCAAGUCGAGCGGGGUGAUGGUGCUUGCACUAUCACUUAGCGGCGGACGGGUGAGUAAUGCUUAGGAAUCUGCCUAUUAGUGGGGGACAACAUCUCGAAAGGGAUGCUAAUACCGCAUACGUCCUACGGGAGAAAGCAGGGGAUCACUUGUGACCUUGCGCUAAUAGAUGAGCCUAAGUCGGAUUAGCUAGGUGGUGGGGUAAAGGCCUACCAAGGCGAAGAUCUGUAGCGGGGCUGAGAGGGUGACAGGCCACACUGGGACGGAGAGACGGCCCAGAGUCCGACGGGAGGAAGGAGUGGGGAAUAUUGGACAAUGGGGGGAAACCUGAUCCAGCCAUGCGGCGUGUGUGAAGAAGGCCUUAUGGUUGUAAAGCACUUUAAGCGAGGAGGAGGCUCGUUUGGUUAAUACCCAAGAUGAGUGGACGUUACUCGCAGAAUAAGCACCGGCUAACUCUGUGCCAGCAGCCGCGGUAACAC